rnacentral:misc_RNA from 1 species
GAUGAAGAACGUAGUGAAAUGCGAUACUUGGUGUGAAUUGCAGAAUCCCGUGAACCAUCGAGUCUUUGAACGCAAGUUGCGCCCGAAGCCAUUAGGCCGAGGGCACGCCUGCCUGGGCGUCACACGUCGUUGCCCCCCCAUCUACUCCUUCGGGAUUGCGGGGGGCGGAUGAUGGCCUCCCGUGCGCCUAGUCGCGCGGUUGGCGUAAAAGCCAAGUCCUCGGCGACGCACGCCACGACAAUCGGUGGUUACGAAACCUCGGUUGCCCGUCGUGUGCGGUCGUCGCGCAUCGAGGGCUCGAAAAAAUUGCCGGGCUCCGGCUCGGCUUUCAACGCGACCCCAGGUCAGGCGGGGUUACCCGCUGAAUUUAAGCAUAUCAAUAAGCGGAGGA